rnacentral:lncRNA from 1 species
CCCUCCUUCCAGACCCUGGCAGCCACCAUUCUACUCUUUGCCUCUAUGAAUUUGACUAUUGUAGAUAGCUCAUGAGUCUCCAUGGGAUACUUGCCUCCGCAGGCACCAUAGGAGCAGUGGCAGCUUGGCUGAUGAGCUAUAAGCCAGCCUUGUUUGGGUUCCUAUUCCUUCUGCUGUUGCUUAGCAACUGGUUGGUCAAGUAUGAACACAAGCUCACCCUCCCAGAGCCCCAGCAGGUGAGCACAAGAGGGGGCUUGGCUUCAGCUCAGGGAUAGGGGAUAUUUGCAGCUAGAUUAGGUGGGUAGGGAACAGGGUAGGUGUCGAAAUAAUGGGGCAAGACUGGGGAAUCCAAGACUGGUCUAAACCACCACUCUACAGCUUCCUCUUAGGUGGUGCUGGGUAAAUCACUUCCCUCCACGAGGCCUCAGUUGCCUCACCUCAGCUGUUAAAUCAGGACCACCCCAGACUCUCCUAUUUCAUGUUUGAUGUCAACAUGCUUUGGCAAGAGUAACAACUACUUUAAUGUGAAAAAAAUUUAAAAAAUUAACAUGGACGAACAUAGAUACGUAUCUAAAAUAGAAUAAUGAAGACAGCAGAAAUGUACAUAGAUUAUGACAUCUUUCAUUUAAUGUUAAAAAACAUGCUAGGCUGGGCGCAGUGGCUCACGCCUGCAAUCCCAGCACUUUGGGAGGCCGAGGCAGGUGGAUCACUUGAAGUCAGGAGUUCAAGAUCAGCCUGGCCAACAUGGUAACACCCCGUCUCUACUAAAAAUACAAAAAUUAGCUGGGUGUGGUGACACACACCUGUAAUACCAGCUACUCAGGAGGCUGAGGCAGGAGAAUCACUUGAACCCAGGGGACUGAGGUUGCAGUGAGCUGAGAUCAUGCCACUGCACUCCAGCCUGGGCAACAGAGCAAGCUUCCAUCUAAAAACAAAAAUAAAAAGCAAAACAUGCAAAACAGCCUGGCGCAGUGGCUCACAGCUAUAAUCCCUGCACUUUAGGAUGCUGAGGCAGGUCAACGACCACUUGAGGCCAGGAGUUUGAGAAUAGCCCGGGCAACAUGAGGAAACCCCAUCUCUAAAAAAAAUACAAAAAUGAGCCAGGCAUGGUGGUGCGUGCCUGUAGUCUCAGCUACUCAGGAGACUGAGGUGGGAGAAUCACCUGAGCCCGAGAAGUUGAGGCUGCAGUGAGCAUGCCACUGUACUACAGCCUGGAUGACAUAGUGAGACUCUGUCUCAAAAAAAAAAAAAAAAAAAGGCAAAACAAUAGCCUAUCUUAUUUAUGGAUGUGUAUGUGCAGUGAAAGUAUUUUAAGGCAGGAUGCCUCAACCUUGGCACUAUUGACAUUUUGGGCCAGAUAAUUCUCCAUUGUGGGAGGCUCGCCUGUCACCUGUGCAUUGUUAGCUUAGCGGCCACCCCGGCCCCUACCCAUGAGAUGCCAAGUAGCACACCUGCCAUUUCAUGACAAUCCAAAGUAUUUCCAGAUAUUGCCAAAUGUCCCCUGGGGAAGGCAGAAUGCCUCCCAUUGAGAACUACUUUAUAAAGAAAUGCAUGGAAAAAUAAAUUUUAAAUGCAGGAUUACAGUUAAGGUGAUGAUAUUCAGGGAGGGAGGAGGAUGCUGUGGGUGUGAGAGUCCACAGGGAACUUUAGUUAUAUUUGUGAUAUUUUAUUUCUUAAGUUGAAAUGGGAAUAUGAGUAUUUGUUGUAUUAUUUACCUUUUUGCAUGCCUGAUAUGUUGAAUUUUUUCAGUUAACCAUUUUUUUUUUUUAUGUAUUUAGUUUUUUGAGACAGGGUCUCGCUCUGUGGCCCAGGCUGGAUGCAGUGGCACAACCGUGGCUCACUGCAGCCUCGACCUCCCUGGGAUCAGGUGAUCCUUCCACCUCAGCCUCCCAAGUAGCUGGGACUACAGGUGUGCACAGGGCUAAUUUUUUCUAGUUUUUGUGGAGACGGGAUUUUACCAUGUUUCCCAGGCUGGUUUCAAACUCCUGGGCUCAAGCGAUCCUCCUGCCUCGGCCUUCGAAGGUGCUGGGAUUACAGCCAUGAGCCACCACACCUGGCUUAAUUUUUAAAUAUUUUUAAAGACCAUUAGUUUGUAGCUGAAUCCAAAAAGAAAAAAAAAUAAGUGUUAUUAACCAGGGGAAGGAGAGAUGAGGAUCAUAGAGAUAAAAGCAUGUCAUGAGACCACUGAGACUUCGCAGUUUGAGAUCGUACUGAGCCUGACAAAAUGCUCAGAGAGGCAUGUUGGAAAAACGGGCUCUGGAGAUAGAUAUAUUUAGGCUAAGGGCUUUAUGUCCACUGUGACUGGCAGAUUAGCGGGCCAUCUCAUGCAUUCCUAUGAACCAAAGGCAAGUGGAGGACUCGGGAAUUUGAGGCUGUAUGAUGCUGAGAAAGUGACCUCCCAGCUGGGCCUGGUGGCUCACACCUGUAAUCCCAGCACCUUGGGAGGCCAAGGCAGGCAGAUCACCUGAGGUCGGGAGUUCGA